UACGGGGGGGCAAGCGUUGUUCGGAAUUACUGGGCGUAAAGGGCUCGUAGGCGGCCAACUAAGUCAGACGUGAAAUCCCUCGGCUUAACCGGGGAACUGCGUCUGAUACUGGAUGGCUGGAGAUUGGGAGAGGGAUGCGGAAUUCCAGGUGUAGCGGUGAAAUGCGUAGAUAUCUGGAGGAACACCGGUGGCGAAGGCGGCAUCCUGGACCAACACUGACGCUGAGGAGCGAAAGCCAGGGGAGCAAACGGG
rnacentral:rRNA from 1 species